GACAUGUUAUAUAUGAGCAUCUUAUUAUAUAUAUUAUACUCCUUUUAUACCAAAAUUUCAUUCGUUCGAAGAGCUUUUUAUAUCCAUUUUGUGUUAGAUGUGGGAAAAUCAGUAUACUGUUUAAAUUUCAUUUUGGAAAAAUCAGCAAGUUUUGUCUUCAUUUUCAGCUUGUUCUGGCUGAAAUCAAUCUGGGAAAAGUCAUCAUGUUUUGUCUUUGUAUUUAGCAUGCUAUGUCAGAAAUUAAGUAAAAAAAAAAAAAAACCAGCAUGACUGUCUUCACAUUCAGCACGUUACUGGAAGUCUUCAUUUACUUUGCAGAAGGUUUUAGAUGCUCCAAAAUAUCAAUUUUUGGCCUCUACACAUUUUCCUUGCACUGAUAGAUUUUAACUAAUUCUUUUUGUCUGCAUCACUACUUCAUAUACAUAAAUCAAAUGUCAACAUUUUUUUUAUCUAACUAAUGAUAGAGAAAUCAUGACUUCAAUACAAGGAGUUUAUACACAUUAUGCAUGACAUGUUGUUUGAUUUAUUCCCAAUCAAGAAUCUUUAAAAAUUUGAUCUUCAUUUAUUGAUUGCUUUCAGCAUGAGAAAUUAAGUAAACCGCCUACUGCUUCACAGUUAUUCGAACGUGUACACCGUUGAAACAAAGGAGAAUGAGACUUUGUAGACAACAAGUCACGAAUUGUGUGGGAAAAAUAUGACAAUGCAAUUCAGGAAAAAUAUGGUUCAAAUGUGUCACAACCUGAAAUUGGCAUUGAAGCAUGGUGUGAAGCAACUCAAGUUCCUUGUAAAGGUGGUCGCUUAUAUGGGCUUGGUAUUCAACGAAAAUCUUUGCAUAAGGAUGUCACCUCAUCUGGUUCACCAAUGUUCCAUAUGAUGGACAUGCUGAUUUCAUCACUUUACAAGAUGAAUUUCAUUCUGCUUGUGAGAAGAUAGAUCAGCUUACAAGGGAAAAUGAGGGAUUGCUUCAAAAAAUGGAAGAUGGUACGCGAGAAGAAGAGAAGAAGCGCAUUGAGUUCGAACAAAGGAUACUUCGAAUGUUGGGAGAAAGGAAUGGAUCACAAUAUUAAUCAUUUGAGCACAAUGAUCUUCAAUGGUUGGGCAUAGAAAAUGCUUAUUUUGUUUAUGAAAAUUUACCAUUGAAUGUGUAGAACUUUCUUUUGCUAACUGAUCAAGUGUAUGAUUUUAGCAUUGACUUUUGAAAUGGAAGCAAAAUCGAUCUAAUUUUUGUAACUUUGGACCUUGAACUAAUGGAAUGAAAAUAUUUGUAUUUCU